rnacentral:rRNA from 1 species
GACGAACGCUGGCGGCGUGCUUAACACAUGCAAGUCGAACGAAGUGGCGAACGGGUGAGUAACGCGUAAUCAACCUGCCCUUCAGAGGGGGAAAACAGUUGGAAACGACCGCUAAUACCGCAUACUGAAGGAGGGGAUGGCGGCUGAUUAGCUAGGUGGAGGGGUAACGGCCAACCAAGGCGAUGAUCAGUAGCCGGUCUGAGAGGAUGAACCGCCACAUUGGGACUGAGACACGGCCCAGACCUCUACGGGAGGCAGCAGUGGGGAAUUUUCCGCAAUGGACGAAAGUCUGACGGAGCAACUCCGCGUGAGUGAUGACGGCCUUCGGGUUGGAAAGCUCUGUUAAUCGGGACGCGGUACCGGAAGAGAAAGCCACGGCUAACUACGUGCCAGCAGCCGCGGUAAUAC